GACGAACGCUGGCGGCGUGCUUAACACAUGCAAGUCGAACGGAAAGGCCCUGCUUUUGUGGGGUGCUCGAGUGGCGAACGGGUGAGUAACACGUGAGUAACCUGCCCUUGACUUUGGGAUAACUUCAGGAAACUGGGGCUAAUACCGGAUAGGAGCUCCUGCUGCAUGGUGGGGGCUGGAAAGUUUCGGCGGUUGGGGAUGGACUCGCGGCUUAUCAGCUUGUUGGUGGGGUAGUGGCGUACCAAGGCUUUGACGGGUAGCCGGCCUGAGAGGGUGACCGGCCACAUUGGGACUGAGAUACGGCCCAGACUCCUACGGGAGGCAGCAGUGGGGAAUAUUGCACAAUGGGCGGAAGCCUGAUGCAGCAACGCCGCGUGCGGGAUGACGGCCUUCGGGUUGUAAACCGCUUUCGCCUGUGACGAAGCGUGAGUGACGGUAAUGGGUAAAGAAGCACCGGCUAACUACGUG
rnacentral:rRNA from 1 species